UGCCUGACCCCAAGAAACAAAUACAGUAGAGUCUCACUUAUCCAACAUAAAUGGGCCGGCAGACUGUUGGAUAAGCUAAUAUGUUGGAUAAUAAGGAGGGAGGGAUUAAGGAAAAGCCUAUUACACAUCAAAUUAGGUUAUGAUUUUACAAAUUAAGCACCAAAACAUCAUGUUAUACAACAAAUUUGACAGAAAAAGUAGUUCAAUACGCAGUAAUGUUAUGUUAUUAGUAAUUACUGUAUUUACGAAUUUAGCACCAAAAUAUCGUGAUGUAUUGAAAACAUUGACUACAAUACAGUAAUUACUACGUAGCAUUACUGCAUAUUGAACUACUUUUUCUGCCAAAUUUGUUGUAUAACAUGAUGUUUUGGUGCUUACUUUGUAAAAUCAUAACCCAUUUUGAUGUUUAAUAGGCUUCUCCUUAAUCUUUCAUUAUCCAACGUAUUUGCUUAUCCAACGUUCUGCCAUCCUGUUUAUGUUGGAUAAGUGACACUCUACUGUAUUAUUAUUAUUAUUAUUAUUAUUAUUAUUAUUAUUAUUAUUAUUAUUAUUAUUAUUUUAUUGUAUGACACAGCAAACAAAAUAGAUAUGCUGGAUUUCGUUACACAAAAUCACAAGUCGAACACUUCCCAAGUGUCUAGGACUGUGUGAUGUAUUUUCGGAUGAUGCGUGCAGAUCCCAGUAGGGUGGCCUUUUGCAGUUGGGGUUAUUAUUAUUAUUAUUAUUAUUAUUAUUAUUAUUAUUAUUUAUGUCACACUUUUCCCCCAAGAGUGGAUUUAGAACCCUACAAAAAUUAAAACAAUUCAAAACCUUACAAUAUAUUUUAAAACUGAGAAAAACCAUAGUAAUAAUCAUAAAAUAAUUAUUACAAUAAGUAGUCUAAACAAUUCAAACCAAUUAAAAGAAAUACAUUAAAAACAGAGGCAAAAUAGCAAAACGUUGUACUAUUAAAAUGUCUGGCAUUGGGUUUAAAAAGCAUGGAAAAAAAUACUUGCUGAUUGAAUGGCAGCAAUGUACAUACCUUCUAACUGUCUCAAUAGGGCCAAUUAAUCACAUAUCAUUCCACUUUUUCAUCUGUUUUUUUUAAUAUUCCUGUUUCUCUUGCCUCUUCCCAUUGUCUCUUCUGGCCACAUCUUACUCUGAUUGCUGAAGAAUGAGUUCAAAGUGCAAAGCAAUUUCCACUCAGCUCUACACUGGGGAGAGAAGAGGGCAGAAUCUUGCCUUUCCUUUAUGGCCUUAGGCAAAAGCAAAGUGCUGCAGCCUCUUCAGACUUUGUUUUUCUUAUUAAUACAUUUUACCAUCUUGAUCAUGCUCUGAUGUUGCUUGACCACACAUGUUACAGUUUUCAACUAUUAAAUAUUGGAAGAGAUCAAGAAGGAAGAUAUGCUAGAAUCCAAUGCCUGGCAACACCAUUAAGAAGGUUAGUCUCAUUUUGGGUGAUACAGUCCUUUUAUUAGCUUGGACCUGACCCAUCUAGGUGUUUCUACCCCAUGGAACAUUGUAGUAUUUGUGACACCAACAGAAACCAAGCUGGCAAAAUUUGAAAUUUGAAAAAAGAAAUAAGUAGUUCCUAUAGGUUCAUCCUUACCAUUGGACUAAUACUGGGGGUCAAUGAGAAGGAGUAAGGUGAGGAUAUCAUAAUAGUAUGCAUUGUGCGAUGGCGUUACUUCAUUUGCGAUGGUUUAAUCUAAUUACGAAGACUCAAUCCAGACGCUGCCACCAAUUGCGAUGAUGCUAAAGCCAAUUGGGAAGACUCAAGCCAAUUGUAAU
ensembl:lncRNA